GCAGUAUUUUCUUUCACAAGCGUGGUGGACAUUGUUCUAGCGAUGGAGUUGGAUGGUAUAAUUGAUAACUUCAUGGCAUCUUACCUGAAAGAGGGUGAGCCGUAUCUGAAUACAGCACAUGGGACCCUGAUCGACUACUGGGACGGAUCAGGUCAUUACUGCAUGUAUCUUAUGAUGGUUACUGCUAUUGUAUGGGGUCAAAGCUACAAAGAAGUUGGUCUUUACUGGGCUGGAUCCAUCUUGAAUAGUAUGGUAGUCUUCAUGCCAGGCAAUGUCUCCGGCAAGUAUGGUUCCAAUGUCAAGUCUUCCUACUUUCUCAACAUCCCCUAUGUGCUCUUCCCAAUCCUCGUUGCACUGAAGUGUCUGAAGCAGAGACCAGAAACCAACGUUGAGAGAGCGGAUGUUGUAGCUGCACAGAAAAAGAGUAUCUGGAAGAGACCUUUGGACAUGUUCUUUGUUCUCUUUCUUGUCUUCGCCAUCUUAAUCUCUUUCCUUCGGAUGGCUGUUGCGUUGAAGAGCCCAGCUUCUAUCGCUGUAUACUACCUCAAAAAUGUUGAACCAUACUUCCAGGAUCCCGUCUUAUAUCCUAUGAUCCAAGCAUUAGUAUACUGGUUCUAUUUUGUACCUUACUUCGUUGCUGCGAUCUAUGGCUUCUUCAACCCAGGCUGUACGUGGAUGUCAGACUGGGCAUUGUUGAGUGCUGGGGCAUCUGCUCAGGCCCAGUUUUCACACAUCGGGUCUUCCCUUCACAGUCGCACACCAUACAUCUACCGAGUCCCCAGCGACGGUCUUACAGCUUUCUGGAUAAUCAAUGUGGCUCUUAUGGUCGUACCGCAGCUCAUAGCGUGGAGGUGCCUUACCUGGCCUGCAUUCUUUGAGGUUAAGCCAUGCCCUUCAGAGAUCAGAGAUGGGAAAUCCAGCUUAGAGCAGCGGAAAGAUAAAUAAUACAACAGAGGUUACACUAUUCACUCAUAAACACUGAGCGAUUAAAACAAUAAUUUCUUGUGAGUAGCCCUUUGGAUUGGAACCAUCUCCCAUCAGAGAUACUGAACAGUACAUCACUAGAGGUGUUCAAGUCAGAGAUGGAAAAGACUAGGUAUCAUGGCGACCUCUCUCACCCGCUGCAUUCAUACCAAUUUAAAGUCCUACAGCAUAUACAUCCAGAUCCAGAUAAUAACAAUGGUGCAGGUUGAUGUUUAGAAUUGAUCUGGUUCGAUCAUGCUUGAGUAACACCAGAGGGCCAUUUUCAUGAAACCUGUUUGUAAGUUACGAAUGACUUUACGUACAACUGCUGCCCCUUCCUGUUUCUUCAUGAUAUAUUCCUGUGUUGCUGACUUCGGUGCAUGAUUUAAUUUUACGUAAAUUUGAGCGUAACUUUACGAACAGCUUUAUGGAAACCCUGUCCUGGCUUGUUUGCAAAGCGUGAUUGCAGGGCCAAUAUAUUUAUGCUUGAUUAUGUGCAAUCAAGUCUACAAAUCAGUGGUUAUACGACCCUGAUAAAGGCUUACGAUUCUUUAAAUUUCAACUUUGAUUUGAUUGGCUACUGAGCCAUGUUACCAUGAUGACUUUUAAUCAUUAGUGAAACAGGCCUAGAGGGAAUUCUAGUGAGUGAUGCUCUAUUAUUUUCAUGUUUGGUUCCAGAUAGGUGUACCUGGUCAAAUUGCUACAUGGCACCUGCAAAUUGGAAGGGAGCUUUUGCUCCAUGAAAAAAGCUGAUGACUAAUACCUCGGUCACAUAUGCUCUACGGCGGCCGUACGAACAAAUGUGACCAUGGUAUUAAUCACAACCUUUUUUCUGGUGACACCACUCUCAUGAUCGCAUUUCCAUAAUGAUUUUCUGUUCUUAACAAAUAUAUUCUGCUAAAUAUGUACAUUCUUAAGGAUAUAUCAUUACUGUAGUCACCAGAAUUAUGUGCACUUUCUCCACCUCCUGGGAAGCAUUCCAACAAGAGUUUCAAAAUUUGAUUCCUAGUCAUAUUACCUAAGACUUUUACAUCCUACCAGGUACCCCAUUUAGUGGUCCCAUGACAUUUACUCCGGCGACAAAUGCUCCACUGUAAAUUCCUUACACCAAAGGAAAGACUAUUUUUAAGCCUAGAUUUAACACUAUACCCUAUCCUUAACCUAACACAAAGCCCUAUUGCAACCCAAACCCUAACCCUAUAUCUUAGACGAUAUAAAGCCCGGAGCAAUUGUCGGCGGAGCAAAUUUGUCACCUCAUUUAGCACCUGGUUGGAGAGUGGCAAAGUGUGGAUUGAACACUUGACCAUCUUAUUACAAGGUGAGAGUCAGAACCACUAAACCUCAAUGCCUUUUGUACUAAAACUUUUUUUGUCUCUCUUGAGUGAUGUUUAGAACAGGCAGAUUCCAAUCUGUGUAUGUCGUUGCUUGAGAAUCAAAACGGUACUACCUCUGUGUUACUCGCUACAGCAUGUCAUCUAGGCGACAGUAGACGGCGCUGUAUGGUGACCACCACCGUCGCCCUUUGUGUGUUGAAAUCAAGUUUCUCUGGGGUGGACUAUGCUUUUAAAGAAUACUGUACCACCAAUUAUUGUUUUUAUGCAUAUAUGCAAGCUUUCUUGCAAACAUGUAUGAAAUGGCCCUGCUCUCAUUAAAAAAACGCAGGAUUUGUAUGUUUGCAAUUCUUUAUCCUGAUACAUGGAAUGAAAAUUUUUAACUGAGGGUUGUAAUGAUAUUUUACUGAGAUAAGCAAUCAAUCUUAGUCCAUAAAGCAAUCUUAAUCCAAAACUCCCCCAAUGACUAUGGCAGGAGGUAUUUAUUUGAUGUUGUUUUUUAAUCUCAAAAUCAAUUUAUUUACAGAAAUAAUAUUUGAUUGCAAUGUCUAUUACUGAAUAAAAGUGGAUUGAUGCAAUGACUGAUUAGAUCAACUGAAAUUAAUGUAUAUUACAAAUUGAUAACUGGAUUUUUAAUGAUUACUGCCAUUUAAACUCUUUAUGUGCCACUCUUUGGUGGUAUGUUUUACUGUAAUUGGUUCUUGUAAGCCUAGUUUUCAUGGUGCUCCCAAAUAUUUUGCGAGGGUGUUGCAACACAAACCAUUCGCAAAUAUGUUUCUAUAAAUUACGAACGAACAAAAAACCGACUCCCGAACGAUUUGUGAAGCUUCCAAACCUUAGGUGCGUGUCUUGCACACAUUUUCCGCUUUAAAUGUGAAUGUUGGACUCAACCACUUUUGGAAAUUCAUUGCAUUCCUUGCUAAAAAGUUUGUGAGCCCUGGUGAAAACCUGGCUUUAGAAGUUUGUUGUGCUUUUGUGUGUGUUUCAAGAUUCUUGUUUUGUGUGUGUGUGUUUAAUAAUAAUAAUAAUAGUACAAUAAUCAUACUCAAUUUCUAUAUAGCGCAAAUUACAGUUAAGUCUCUUCAUGUUUUUAAAUAAUGAUGCCAGAACAUGACUUUUUAACUACAGUGUAACUAGUCUUGUGUGGAAUCUCGGACAAAAAAAAAUUAAUAAAACUUCUCAAAGCAUUUUUUAUCUGCCAAGUGCAAAUCAAAUUGGCAUUAGAUUAGCAUCUGCGUUAAUUGCAUAGGUAGGUAAAGCGAUAUGAAAUAGUUCUUCAUUAUCCCUGUCCUCUUUGUCAUGGGACAAGUAUCAAAUUUAUUAGAGGGUCUCCUUUACACUUGUCACGAAUCUGAAUUGCAUAUAAAGAUUGUGUUCCUUCAUAGCAAAACUUGCGACAUGAUUGAACUUUGUACAAAAUCAGGUCAAGAUAUCUUUUUUAAUUACUGCCUACAAUGUACAGUUUGAAUAGAAGAGAGAUGGUGAUAUUUCAUAUAAAUGUGAUUUUAAGGAAUGGAUUAUUAGCUUUCAUUGCUUUUUCUGAAAUAAGAAAUGAUGUGAAAAGUGAUGACAUGUAUCAAAGUUUGAAUGAAUGAGUAAAAAGUAUUAAUCAUUUGUAACAUUUUUUUUACACUUUUUGUACCGAAUUUGAUCAGUACCACCAUUUAUAAUCCAAUAGUACUCUUGAAUUAUUAUAGGUAUACCUCUGCCAUGGUACAAAGUACAUUUGAUAAUAACCCCUGAGAAGUAUUUGAAUUAUUCAUUAUGCAUAAAUGAGGAAUCAUGAGUGAAAUCAAUUGGAAGAAAGAUUAUCAAAAGGUCAUGAGGCAGUAUCUCUAAAGUUCCAUACCUGUUCUUUGAUUUCAUACCUCAUUCAAAGAAAAUACUGUUUUUAAAUUGUUUGCAGAGCAUGAUUUCUUUAAACAGAUGCACUUUCACCUUUAGGAGUUAUUGGAUUAAUCUGAUAGAUUGAACAAUUAAUAGAAUCCAGUCUGCCAGUCUGCAUACACUCACGCCGUGAAAGUUUAUAGGUCUUGUGAUUUUAAUCCAUAGAAUAUGAAUAUUCUUGUAAACAGGCCUAAUUCUGAGAAAUUUUUCACUUGUGUUUUGCUUCUUUUUCAACCCAAUAUUUUGAAUUAUGUGGAAGGGUUUGAAGAUCAAUUGAAAAUUUAUUGACAUUGUUGCAGUAUGUACGUAUGUUAACUAUGCCAAAGAACUUGUACCCGUAUACUGGAAAGUAUAUUUAUAUAUUUGCAUCAUUAAUAUACUUGAUUUGUAUAUAUUUGCUAUGAA